GUAAGCUACUAAGAGCAAAUGGUGGAUGCCUUGGUUGGUAGAGGCGAUGAAGGACGUACUAGACUGCGAUAAGCUAUGAGGAGCUGUCAAGAAGCUUUGAUUCAUAGAGUUCCGAAUGGGGCAACCCGGUAUAUAGUGAUAUAUACCACCUGAUAUGGAGCGAACUUGGGGAACUGAAACAUCUUAGUACCCAAAGGAAAAGAAAUCAAUUGAGAUUAUGCAAGUAGCGGCGAGCGAACGCGUAAGAGGGCAAACCACUAGUUUACUAGUGGGGUUAUAGGACUGCAUAAAAGAAUAAAAACGGAUAAUAGAACAAUUUGGAAAAGUUGAGCAUAGAGGGUGAUACUCCCGUAUAUGAAAUCCCUUUUUUACUUAGCGGUAUCCUGAGUAAGACGAGUCACGUGAAAUCUUGUCUGAAUUCGGGUCGACCACGAUCCAACCCUAAAUACUACUACCAAACCGAUAGCGAACAAGUACCGUGAGGGAAAGGUGAAAAGAACUGAGGUGAUCAGAGUGAAAUAGAAUCUAAAACCAUUUGCUUACAAUCAUUCAGAGCCCUAUGAUUUAUCAGGGUGAUGGACUGCCUUUUGCAUAAUGAGCCUGCGAGUUGUGGUGUCCGGCAAGGUUAAGUAAACACGGAGCCGUAGCGAAAGCGAGUCUUAAUAGGGCGUUUAGUCGGAUGCUGCAGACCCGAAACGAUGUGAUCUAUCCAUGAGCAGAUUGAAACCGGUGUAAGAACCGGCGGAGGAUCGAACAGACGGCCAUUGAAACGGCUCCUGAUGACUUGUGGAUAGGGGUGAAAGGCCAAUCAAACAUCGUGAUAGCUGGUUCUCUUCGAAAUAUAUCGAGGUAUAGCGUUGUGUCGUAAUUAUAAGGGGUAGAGCACUGAAUGGGCUAGGGCAUACACCAAUGUACCAACCCCUAUCAAACUCCGAAUACUUAUAAUGUAAUCACAGCAGUCAGGCGGCGAGUGAUAAAAUCCGUCGUCGAAAGGGGAACAACCCGGACUACCGACUAAGGUCCCUAAAUCUUAUUUAAGUGGAAAACGAUGUGAAGUUACUUAAACAACCAGGAGGUUGGCUUAGAAGCAGCCAUCCUUUAAAGAUAGCGUAAUAGCUCACUGGUCUAGUGAUUUUGCGCGGAAAAUAUAACGGGGCUAAAAUAAGUACCGAAGUCGUAGAUUUACACAAUAGUGUAAGUGGUAGAAGAGCGUUGUAUUUAGCAUUGAAGGCGUACCGGUAAGGAGCGCUGGAGCAUAUACAAGUGAGCAUGCAGGCAUGAGUAGCGAUAAUUAAUGUAAGAAUCAUUAACGCCGAAAACCCAAGGUUUCCUACGCGAUGCUCGUCAUCGUAGGGUUAGUCGGGUCCUAAGCAAAGUCCGAAAGGGGUAUGCGAUGGAAAAUCGGUUAAUAUUCCGAUACCAACAUUAUUGUGCGAUGGAAGGACGCUUAAAGUUAAUGGGGCUAAGUGAUGGAAUACUUAGUCUAAGGAUGUAGGUUAAGUUGUAGGCAAAUCCGCAACUUUUUAUCCGAGAUCUAAAAGGCUUACAAAACUCUUCGGAGUAGCGUAAGAACCCAUGAUACUAUCGAGCCGAGAAAAGUUUCUAAGUUUAGAUAAUGUUGCCCGUACCGUAAACCGACACAGGUGGGUGGGAUGAGUAUUCUAAGGCGCGUGGAAGAACUCUCUUUAAGGAACUCUGCAAAAUAGCACCGUAUCUUCGGUAUAAGGUGUGCCUAACUUUGUGAAAGAUUUACUCUAUAAGCAAAGAAGGUUACAACAAAGAGUCCCUCCCGACUGUUUACCAUAAACACAGCACUCUGCUAACACGUAAGUGGAUGUAUAGGGUGUGACGCCUGCCCGGUGCUCGAAGGUUAAUUGAUGAUGUCAGGAGUAAUCCAAAGCAUUUGAUCGAAGCCCGAGUAAACGGCGGCCGUAACUAUAACGGUCCUAAGGUAGCGAAAUUCCUUGUCGGG
rnacentral:rRNA from 1 species